rnacentral:rRNA from 1 species
GACGAACGCUGGCGGCGUGCUUAACACAUGCAAGUCGAACGGAAAGGCCCUGCUUUUGUGGGGUGCUCGAGUGGCGAACGGGUGAGUAACACGUGAGUAACCUGCCCUUGACUUUGGGAUAACUUCAGGAAACUGGGGCUAAUACCGGAUAGGAGCUUCUGCUGCAUGGUGGGGGAUGGAAAGUUUCGGCGGUUGGGGAUGGACUCGAGGCUUAUCAGCUUGUUGGUGGGGUAGUGGCUUACCAAGGCUUUGAAGGGUAGCCGGCCUGAGAGGGUGACCGGCCACAUUGGGACUGAGAGACGGCCCAGACUGCAACGGGAGGCAGCAGGGGGGAAUAUUGCACAAUGGGCGGAAGCCUGAUGCAGCAACCCCGCGUGCGGGAUGACGGCCUUCGGGUUGUAAACCGCUUUCGACUUUGACGAAGCGUGAGUGACGGUAAUGAGUAAAGAAGCACCGGCUAACUACGUG